GUGCCAGCAGCCGCGGUAAUACAGAGGGUGCAAGCGUUGUUCGGAAUUAUUGGGCGUAAAGGGAGUGUAGGCGGCUUGUUAAGUCUUCUGUGAAAUCUACGGGCUCAGCCUGUAAAGUGCAGAGGAAACUGGCGAGCUUGAGUGUCGGAGAGGAUAGGGGAAUACCCGGUGUAGAGGUGAAAUUCGUAGAGAUCGGGUGGAACACCAGUGGCGAAGGCGCCUGUCUGGCUGACAACUGACGCUGAGACUCGAAAGCAUGGGGAGCAAACAGGAUUAGAUACCCCCGUAGUCC
rnacentral:rRNA from 1 species